GUAACUCCCAGAACCGACCCAACAGAACCACCUCUGAACGUCCUCUGGUGUCUGCAGGUGGUCUCCUCUGCUGGUGUCGUCAGGAUCAGGAGCUUCCAGAAGAAUGUGCCUUUCAAUGACUCUUUCCCCCUUAUUUGUUAUAUUAAUUAAAUAAAUCUCAAUUUA